GACGAACGCUGGCGGCGUGCUUAACACAUGCAAGUCGAACGGAAAGGCCCUGCUUUUGUGGGGUGCUCGAGUGGCGAACGGGUGAGUAACACGUGAGUAACCUGCCCUUGACUUUGGGAUAACUUCAGGAAACUGGGGCUAAUACCGGAUAGGAGCUCCUGCUGCAUGGUGGGGGUUGGAAAGUUUCGGCGGUUGGGGAUGGACUCGCGGCUUAUCAGCUUGUUGGUGGGGUAGUGGCUUACCAAGGCUUUGACGGGUAGCCGGCCUGAGAGGGUGACCGGCCACAUUGGGAGUGAGAGACGGCCCAGACUCCUACGGGAGGCAGGAGUGGGGAAUAUUGCACAAUGGGCGGAAGCAUGAUGCAGCAACGCCGCGUGCGGGAGGACGGCCUUCGGGUUGUAAACCGCUUUCGCGUGUGACGAAGCGUGAGUGACGGUAAUGGGUAAAGAAGCACGGGCAAACUACGU
rnacentral:rRNA from 1 species